ACGAGAACGAGGGCGUCGUGCCUUUAUAAGACUGCGUUAAUGGCUUUAAUGUUUCCGUGGAGUUAUCCCUUCCGUUGUUGUUUAUUGAUCGUUAAACAUGGCUACAUUUGCAAAGGUAGUUCUGUGUGUCCUCAUUGCUUGUGUCUGUAAUGCAUUCUGUUUUCCUAUGAGAGACCGCCAAAGUGAUGUGGUUGUCACCACAACACCCGAUCCCCACAACCAAACCACAUCUGCCCAUACUGAAGCUGGUGGUGCAAGUGAAGAUGCUGUGGCUACUACCCCAGCACCUAAUCCACACAACCAGACAACUUCUGCACAAACUGAAGUUACUGAUGGAGCCAGUGAAGACGCUGUGGACCGCCAAAGUGAUGUGGUUGUCACAACACCCGAUCCCCACAACCAGACUACAUCUGAAGCUGGUGAUGGAGCAAGUGAAGAUGCUGUGGCUACCACCCCAGCACCAAAUCCCCCAAACCAAACUACAUCAGACCACUAAGGACAUCAGUGCAUGUCUGUUUUGAUGGAACACUUUGAAUGUUUGCGCCCCCCUUUUGACAGUGUCGCUUUCUAUUUGUGUGUCCUCAUAAGAUGAUUCAAGUGAGGGUGCUGUGGCUGCCACCCAAACUCCUGAAGUCCAGACUAAAUCUGCCCAAACUGGAACUACUGUAUCCCAUACCACUGACGUCUGAUUCGACUGCUCCUCUGGUAACAAUGACCCGAGUCACUGUCUGGACUUUUUGCCUCUACAUGUUGACUGCAAUAAAGGACAGAUUUGUUUUUUGAAUCAAGUGUUGUCUUGCCUUUUUCAAAUUGAGACCUUGUCCUGUUUUGGUGGUGGAGAUGACUAUAAAGCCUCUUUCCUAACGUAUUUCCUGUAGUGGUUUUACUAUAUGCUUCAUGCAA
ensembl:lncRNA